AGGGAUGUAAUUUAAAAAGAAUAAUUAAUUUGCACUUAAAAAGAGCUUCUGCCUGCCCUU
rnacentral:tRNA from 1 species